rnacentral:tRNA from 1 species
GCCCGUCUACUCAAGUCCGGCUGAAGAGACCGGUCCUGAAAACCGGAAGGCCGGGAGACCGGCGCAGGGGUUCGAAUCCUCUGACGGGCGCCA